CGGCUCCGGGACGCGGCUGCACUCGGAGGAGAGCUUGAGCGAAGGCGACGCGGCCGUCGUCGCGACCGGCGACGUUUAACGUCUUUGUCGGCGAGAUGGACAGUGGCAUCGAGUGCACCCUUAGCAGGACACAGCCAGCCAUGACCACACUCCAGCCGUGGAGGCUGUCCCACCAUGUCUCCGACUGCCACCAGACCAUAGGCCUGUGACCACACAUGCAAACAUUGCAGCAGAAAGUUGAAGGACUCAGCUCGGGCUGCAGAGGAUAACUGCCAGUAUGACUGCUUCUCAAGCACGGGAGGACUGUGCCCUGAGAGGUACCCUGAAAAGAGCCGCAUGUCUGUGAGUGGUGCACUGCGGCGUCCUCAGCAGGACCUUCCUUCUUCAGCAGAACGCUGAGUUCAGCUGCUCUUCCCAGGAAGCCCAAAAUCUUCAUUACAACUGAUCUUACUACACUUUUACUACAGUUCACUGCUACUUGUCUGCUGAAGGAUCUUUUUGCCGAUGCCAGGUCCAUCUCUAGGGACAGGCUGUAGGAUCAGUGUGUCUGUGUAGAGCCGCAGGUGGCUCCUAGACACACUCUCAGUUAUCCUGCUCCGGGAGAUGCAUAAAUCACGAGCUCCAUCUGCCUGCUCACUCUGUAAGCCUCUCAGGCCGUGUAACUCGUUAGGAGGUGACAGGGAAACUCAUCCAAAGGGCAAGGACUUUGCCAAAGAGCCUGAAAUGCUGUCCUUAACUCUUGGGAAAACCUGUGCCUCGGCGUUUUGCUGACUGCUGCCCUGCUUGCUUCUGUGCUCUCAGCAAUGUAGAGCCUGAGGUAUCAGGGAACAUUCACUCCCUAUUUCCAGUGCUUUGCAGUCAGAGGGAGGGAUGACAAGCUUAUGCUCUGACAGACUGCAGCAUUGCUCUGUUUGGCCUGGACUCACCAGCAGUUGCCCCUGGGCUGGCCUGCUUGCUGUCAGAACAAAGGAGUUCACAGCUUCUCACUCUGGUGAGCACCAUGUCUCGGUUCUAAUUUAAUUUCCAGAGACUCAAAUAAAUUUGAUAGAACCAAUUAACAAUUUAUAGAGU